UCCUCUGGUCUAAAGCUUACCGACAGCACUUAAGCACAUGAUAAUUUCUAGAUUCAUUUGAGGGACCUUGCAAAGCAUUUAUACCGAUCUUGUCGCGACUGCGAAGCACAAAGAGCGAUAGCACGUAUCAUCAACCUUCCAUAGUCCCAAGCACAGGCAUGAAUGUAUCUUCGGAAGCUUUCCAAGAUACUUCUACGUUCACACGUGUAGAAAAUAUCUGCAUCCUGUCCUCUCACACACCGAAACUUUUGGAGGUUUCUCCGUUUUAAUUCUGUUCCUUAGCACAAACGAUCACGACAGCGUGGAGGCUGCCAGAGUCUCCCAGACUUUCCCGGUGCUCCUCUACUUGAACUAAUCGAUUGAAUGGAGCAUU
rnacentral:lncRNA from 1 species